UUAAGCGAACAAGCGUACACGGUGGAUGCCCUGGCAGUCAGAGGCGAUGAAGGACGUGCUAAUCUGCGAAAAGCGCCGGUAAGGUGAUAUGAACCGUUACAGCCGGCGAUGUCCGAAUGGGGAAACCCAGUGCAAUUCGUUGCACUAUCUCAGCAUGAAUACAUAGUGCUGUGAGGCGAACCGGGGGAACUGAAACAUCUAAGUACCCCGAGGAAAAGAAAUCAACCGAGAUUCCCCCAGUAGCGGCGAGCGAACGGGGAACAGCCCAGAGCCUGAAUCAGCUUGUGUGUCAGUGGAACGGUCUGGAAAGGCCGGCGAUACAGGGUGACAGCCCCGUACACGAAGGCACACAGGCUGUGAGCUCGAUGAGUAGGGCGGGACACGUGAUAUCCUGUCUGAAGAUGGGGGGACCAUCCUCCAAGGCUAAAUACUCCUGACUGACCGAUAGUGAACCAGUACCGUGAGGGAAAGGCGAAAAGAACCCCGGCGAGGGGAGUGAAACAGAACCUGAAACCGUGUACGUACAAGCAGUGGGAGCCUUCGUAAGAGGGUGACUGCGUACCUUUUGUAUAAUGGGUCAGCGACUUAUAUUCUGUAGCAAGGUUAACCGUAUAGGGGAGCCGAAGGGAAACCGAGUCUUAAUUGGGCGUUAAGUUGCAGGGUAUAGACCCGAAACCCGGUGAUCUAGCCAUGGGCAGGUUGAAGGUUGGGUAACACUAACUGGAGGACCGAACCGACUAAUGUUGAAAAAUUAGCGGAUGACCUGUGGCUGGGGGUGAAAGGCCAAUCAAACCGGGAGAUAGCUGGUUCUCCCCGAAAGCUAUUUAGGUAGCGCCUCGUGAACUCAUCUUCGGGGGUAGAGCACUGUUUCGGCUAGGGGGCCAUCCCGGCUUACCAACCCGAUGCAAACUACGAAUACCGAAGAAUGUUAUCACGGGAGACACACGGCGGGUGCUAACGUCCGUCGUGAAGAGGGAAACAACCCAGACCGCCAGCUAAGGUCCCAAAGUCAUGGUUAAGUGGGAAACGAUGUGGGAAGGCACAGACAGCCAGGAUGUUGGCUUAGAAGCAGCCAUCAUUUAAAGAAAGCGUAAUAGCUCACUGGUCGAGUCGGCCUGCGCGGAAGAUGUAACGGGGCUAAACCAUGCACCGAAGCUGCGGCAGCGACACUAUGUGUUGUUGGGUAGGGGAGCGUUCUGUAAGCCUGCGAAGGUGUGCUGUGAGGCAUGCUGGAGGUAUCAGAAGUGCGAAUGCUGACAUAAGUAACGAUAAAGCGGGUGAAAAGCCCGCUCGCCGGAAGACCAAGGGUUCCUGUCCAACGUUAAUCGGGGCAGGGUGAGUCGACCCCUAAGGCGAGGCCGAAAGGCGUAGUCGAUGGGAAACAGGUUAAUAUUCCUGUACUUGGUGUUACUGCGAAGGGGGGACGGAGAAGGCUAUGUUGGCCGGGCGACGGUUGUCCCGGUUUAAGCGUGUAGGUGUGUGUUCCAGGUAAAUCCGGUUCACUUUAACACUGAGGCGUGAUGACGAGGCACUACGGUGCUGAAGUAACAAAUGCCCUGCUUCCAGGAAAAGCCUCUAAGCAUCAGGUAACACGAAAUCGUACCCCAAACCGACACAGGUGGUCAGGUAGAGAAUACCAAGGCGCUUGAGAGAACUCGGGUGAAGGAACUAGGCAAAAUGGUGCCGUAACUUCGGGAGAAGGCACGCUGACAUGUAGGUGAAGCCCCUGCGGGUGGAGCUGAAGUCAGUCGAAGAUACCAGCUGGCUGCAACUGUUUAUUAAAAACACAGCACUGUGCAAACACGAAAGUGGACGUAUACGGUGUGACGCCUGCCCGGUGCCGGAAGGUUAAUUGAUGGGGUUAUCGCAAGAGAAGCUCCUGAUCGAAGCCCCGGUAAACGGCGGCCGUAACUAUAACGGUCCUAAGGUAGCGAAAUUCCUUGUCGGGUAAGUUCCGACCUGCACGAAUGGCGUAAUGAUGGCCAGGCUGUCUCCACCCGAGACUCAGUGAAAUUGAACUCGCUGUGAAGAUGCAGUGUACCCGCGGCAAGACGGAAAGACCCCGUGAACCUUUACUACAGCUUGACACUGAACAUUGAGCCUUGAUGUGUAGGAUAGGUGGGAGGCUUUGAAGCGUGGACGCCAGUCUGCGUGGAGCCAACCUUGAAAUACCACCCUUUAAUGUUUGAUGUUCUAACCUGGCGCCAUAAUCUGGCGUGGGGACAGUGUCUGGUGGGUAGUUUGACUGGGGCGGUCUCCUCCCAAAGUGUAACGGAGGAGCACGAAGGUCAGCUAAUCCUGGUCGGACAUCAGGAGGUUAGUGCAAUGGCAUAAGCUGGCUUGACUGCGAGAGUGACGGCUCGAGCAGGUGCGAAAGCAGGUCAUAGUGAUCCGGUGGUUCUGUAUGGAAGGGCCAUCGCUCAACGGAUAAAAGGUACUCCGGGGAUAACAGGCUGAUACCGCCCAAGAGUUCAUAUCGACGGCGGUGUUUGGCACCUCGAUGUCGGCUCAUCACAUCCUGGGGCUGAAGUAGGUCCCAAGGGUAUGGCUGUUCGCCAUUUAAAGUGGUACGCGAGCUGGGUUUAGAACGUCGUGAGACAGUUCGGUCCCUAUCUGCCGUGGGCGCUGGAGAAUUGAGGGGGGCUGCUCCCAGUACGAGAGGACCGGAGUGGACGCAUCACUGGUGUUCGGGUUGUCAUGCCAAUGGCACUGCCCGGUAGCUAAAUGCGGAAGAGAUAAGUGCUGAAAGCAUCUAAGCACGAAACUUGCCCCGAGAUGAGUUCUCCCUGAGACUAUAAGUCUCCUGAAGGAACGUUGAAGACGACGACGUUGAUAGGCCGGGUGUGUAAGCGCAGCGAUGCGUUGAGCUAACCGGUACUAAUGAACCGUGAGGCUUAACCUU
rnacentral:rRNA from 1 species